GAAUCGCAGAUACUCUAUAAUUUCAUAAAAAAAAACUUAAAAAAGAAAAGAGACAACAGCCGACAGCGUGACUUUUGGCUAGGGGUUAUUGAUGACGGCUGUAUACCCCACUCCCCCAUAAUUAAGGUGCAUCUAGAGUUCUGGAGUCAUAACCUGGGCCAUUGUGGGCAGUUUUCCAGUUCAGAAACUAAGACAAAUAAACAUGGAGGGAACACAAACAAGAGACAUUCCUGCGAGUCAAAUGAAGAAAGAAAAAGAUGGCGAUAAAGAAACAGAAAAGAAAAAUAGAACUGAUAAUAUAGAAAGUGUUGAAGCUGAUUUUAAUGGAAAAACAGACAACAGUAAAUUUGAUCAACCAAAGGGAGACAUUGAUUUGUUUGAAAAAAUGUUUGAACACUGGAAACAGAUAGAAACAUCAAAUGAUAAACAAGAAAAAGAUUUAUUACAGAAUGUUCAAAAACUGGAAAAACAGAAUGAUGAAAAUGUUAAAAGAGUUCUUGAACUUGAGACGACAUUAGAAUUGUUACAAAAUACA